UACGAAGGGGGCUAGCGUUGUUCGGAGUUACUGGGCGUAAAGGGCGCGUAGGCGGCCUGGCAAGUCGGUGGUGAAAGCCCGUGGCUCAACUACGGGUCGGCCACCGAUACUGCUAUGGCUCGAGUUUGGUAGAGGCAGAUGGAAUUCCGGGUGUAGCGGUGGAAUGCGUAGAGAUGUGGAGGAACACCUGUGGCGAAGGCGCCUUGCUGGCCGAUUUCUGACGCUGAGGCGCGAAAGCGUGGGGAGCAAACAGG
rnacentral:rRNA from 1 species